rnacentral:rRNA from 1 species
UACGAAGGUCCCAAGCGUUAUCCGGAUUCAUUGGGUUUAAAGGGUGCGUAGGCGGAAUAAUAAGUCAGUGGUGAAAUCUUGCAGCUUAACUGUAAAACUGCCAUUGAUACUGUUGUUCUUGAGUACAAAUGAUGUGGGCGGAAUGUGCCAUGUAGUGGUGAAAUACUUAGAUAUGGCACAGAACACCGAUUGCGAAGGCAGCUCACAAAACUGUAACUGACGCUGAGGCACGAAAGCGUGGGGAUCAAAC